CCUACGGGUGGCAGCAGUGGGGAAUAUUGGGCAAUGGGCGCAAGCCUGACCCAGCAACGCCGCGUGAAGGAAGAAGGCUUUCGGGUUGUAAACUUCUUUUGUCAGGGACGAAGCAAGUGACGGUACCUGACGAAUAAGCCACGGCUAACUGCGUGCCAGCAGCCGCGGUAAUACGUAGGUGGCAAGCGUUAUCCGGAUUUAUUGGGUGUAAAGGGCGUGUAGGCGGGACUGCAAGUCAGAUGUGAAAACCACGGGCUCAACCUGUGGCCUGCAUUUGAAACUGUAGUUCUUGAGUGUCGGAGAGGCAAUCGGAAUUCCGUGUGUAGCGGUGAAAUGCGUAGAUAUACGGAGGAACACCAGUGGCGAAGGCGGAUUGCUGGACGAUAACUGACGCUGAGGCGCGAAAGCGUGGGGAGCAAACAGGAUUAGAUACCCUAGUAGUC
rnacentral:rRNA from 1 species